rnacentral:rRNA from 1 species
AUUGAGACGAGUGGCGAACUGGUGAGUAACACGUGGGUAACCUGCCCUUGAAGUAGGGGAUAACACUUGGAAACAGGUGCUAAUACCGUAUAACAACCAAAACCACCUGGUUUUGGUUUAAAAGAUGGCUUCGGCUAUCACUUUAGGAUGGACCCGCGGCGUAUUAGCUUGUUGGUAAGGUAACGGCCUACCAAGGCAAUGAUACGUAGCCGACCUGAGAGGGUAAUCGGCCACAUUGGGACUGAGACACGGCCCAAACUCCUACGGGAGGCAGCAGUAGGGAAUCUUCCACAAUGGACGAAAGUCUGAUGGAGCAACGCCGCGUGAGUGAUGAAGGGUUUCGGCUCGUAAAACUCUGUUGUUGGAGAAGAACAGGUGUGAGAGUAACUGUUCACAUCUUGACGGUAUCCAACCAGAAAGCCACGGCUAACUACGUGCCAGCAGCCGCGGUAAUACGUAGGUGGCAAGCGUUGUCCGGAUUUAUUGGGCGUAAAGCGAGCGCAGGCGGUUUCUUAGGUCUGAUGUGAAAGCCUUCGGCUUAACCGGAGAAGUGCAUCGGAAACCAGGAGACUUGAGUGCAGAAGAGGACAGUGGAACUCCAUGUGUAGCGGUGAAAUGCGUAGAUAUAUGGAAGAACACCAGUGGCGAAGGCGGCUGUCUGGUCUGUAACUGACGCUGAGGCUCGAAAGCAUGGGUAGCGAACAGGAUUAGAUA